UGAUGAGGAUAGGCAAAAAUGCUAUCGGGCAUUUGAUCCUCUUCUUCAUCUUCGCCAUUCCCUGUGAAAGGACAGCCAUGUGAUUAUCGAUUGCUAAAAGCUGUAGUCGAACCGGUGGUGAAUUUCAUAUCGAUAUCUCUAUAUAUUCUUACUUGCUUUCUUACCGCGCUUACGAAAAUACCGCAAAAUGCCGCUAUACCAAGCACAUUGAAUACGGAUGAGCCAACGAUAGUUCCCACUCCGAUAUCUCCUUUGGUGACACAUGUGCCCACGAUGGACACAAAGAGCUCUGGUGCCGAGGUUGCAGCCGCCAAAAAUGUUGCCCCAGCAACAUCAUAUGACAUUCGCAUUCCUGUGAUUAAUGGUGUGACGAAGGUUUGCACAUUUCUAUUGCCUACUUUUCUGCGUUUUUGUCUGAAGAAAUCUGUGAAAUGAUUUUGUUAAAAUGCUUAUCUAAAGAACUUCUGACAUUCCUGUUUU